rnacentral:lncRNA from 1 species
AUUAGCAUCUGUAAGACCCAGGUGCAGAAGCUGAGACAGCAAAUUCAAUAACAAAUUCAAUUUCCAAACUGUUUUUCAGUUUCGCAACAAUAGGUUGCAUGGGGUGCCCAUAUGAAAGGGAUUCUCUUAAUCACAGCAUUUACCAUGACCUGGGUAGUGAGCUGUGGGCCCUGUAUGAACCCAGACAUGCUCGGCAGCACUCAAAACCAAAAACACCGCUCCUAAAUAAGUCUCUCAUUUUGGUGAGGGUUCUUCAGGAAGCAAUGACGGCGAUCCACUGAAUGAAGCAACUCCUUCACACCACACCCCCUGGAUUCAAUAGCUUCUUGGGUUCGCCCUUCCCCCACGUUGAUAUGUCCCUUGGGGCACGACUUUGAGGCUAAUGGCUGAAGCUCAGAUUCACUGAAAUUUGAGUUUGGUCUAGCAUCAAGGUCCAACUCAGCAUUCUCUCUGACUUUUAGCUUUGCUAUUACAGGCAAGAAUAAUUUAGAGAUCGAAUAUUUUGUCGUCUUCUCACUAGUUUGCAUUUCCUUACACAUCCGGUUGCUGGGGAGGAAGAAGAACCAAGUCCCCAGGAUUUGGACCCAUCUCUAAAUUCCAUUGGGUUGACGGUUGUGCUUAGCAGGAAGGAACAGGUCUAUGCUAUCUUGUCCGGACUGGAAACCUCUAUUUUUUAACCAUCAAUGCCUCUCAGGUCUGACCUCAGACCCAAGCCUCUGUGAACUCUUCCACCAUCAGUGCUACUCUAGUCUGUCCUCGAACGCGGGUUUCUGUCAGUUCACCGCCAGUGCCCGUCUUUUAUAUAUCUUCAACUCCGGCCUCUGCGAGCUCUGCUACCAUCCACGCCCUUCUGGUCUGUAACUCAGAACCACGCCUCUUUCACCUUGACCACCGUCAAUGGCAUAUUGUGUAGAAUCGUGCCACCAGAUAUGGCAGAUGCUAGCCACGUGUAGCUACUGAGCACUUGAAAUGAGGCUAAUGAGACUGAGAAUUGAAUUCUAAAUUUUAUUUAUUUUAAUUAAUUAAAAAUUUAAAAUAGGUGCUCAAUUCAGUUAUUGGAAACCUUUUAAACUAUUUUUGGAACAACUCGUGACUAUUAAUCUACAUUUUCAACUGUAAAUUUUAAGAAAUCUAAAUACAAAUCAAGUAUUUCCGAUGAAAAUUUAGCAUUCAAAUUGAGAUGUAUUGUGAGUGUAAAAUAGACGUCUGAUUUCAUAGACUAAUUACAAGAAAAAGAAUGCCAAAUCCCAUUAAUAAUUUAAAAAAUUGAUUACAUGUUGAAAUGAUAAUGUUUUGGAUAUGUGG